CCUGGACAGCCAGCCUCCAUCUCCUGCAGGUCCAGAAAGAGCCUCCUAUACAGUGAUGGAAAAACCUAUUUACACUGGGUUGUGCACAUGCCAGGCCAGACUCCACAGGUCCUAAUAUAUGGGGUUUCCGACUGGUUCCCUGGGGUCUCAGAUAGGUUCAGUGGCAGUGGGUUAGGGACAGAUUUCACACUGAGAAAUAUCAGGGUGGAGCCUGAGGAUGCUGGGGUGUAUUACUGUGUGCAAAGUCUACAUAUUCCUCCCACAGUGGUGCAUCCCUGAUCAA
rnacentral:lncRNA from 1 species